UACGGAGGGUGCAAGCGUUAUCCGGAUUUACUGGGUUUAAAGGGUGCGUAGGUGGACCGGAAAGUCAGUGGUGAAAUCUUCGAGCUUAACUCGGAAACUGCCAUUGAUACUAUUUGUCUUGAAUACUUUGGAGGUAAGCGGAAUAUGUCAUGUAGCGGUGAAAUGCUUAUAUAGGACAUAGAACACCAAUUGCGAAGGCAGCGAACUACACAGUUAUUGACACUGAGGCACGAAAGCGUGGGGAUCAAACAGG
rnacentral:rRNA from 1 species